rnacentral:snoRNA from 1 species
UUGCGGUGAUGACUUGAGAAUCUGUCAAUCCACUGAGUUCGUGAUCACUGAUGUCUCCAUGUUUCUGAGCAA